rnacentral:rRNA from 1 species
UUCUAUGAUGAUACCAAACUGAACAUGUCUGACCUCAGAAGCUAAGCAGGGUAAGGUCUAGGUAGUACUUAGGUGGAAGACCAUCUGUGAAUCAGUUCUGAGUGCUAUAGAUU